CCUACGGGAGGCAGCAGUGGGGAAUAUUGCGCAAUGGGCGAAAGCCUGACGCAGCGACGCCGCGUGAGGGAUGAAGGCCUUCGGAUCGUAAACCUCUGUCAGCAGGGAAGAACGGUCACUGUGCUAAUCAGCAGUGAAUUGACGGUACCUGCAAAGGAAGCACCGGCUAACUCCGUGCCAGCAGCCGCGGUAAUACGGAGGGUGCGAGCGUUAAUCGGAAUUACUGGGCGUAAAGCGCUCGUAGGCGGUAUGUCAAGUCAAGGGUGAAAUCCCCGAGCUCAACGUGGGAACUGCCUUUGAUACUGGCAAGCUGGAGUGUGUGAGAGGAUGGUGGAAUUCCAGGUGUAGGAGUGAAAUCCGUAGAGAUCUGGAGGAACAUCGGUGGCGAAGGCGACUAUCUGGCACAUAACUGACGCUGAGGAGCGAAAGCGUGGGUAGCAAACAGGAUUAGAUACCCCAGUAGUC
rnacentral:rRNA from 1 species